rnacentral:tRNA from 1 species
GCAAUUAUAGUAUAAUAAUUACUUUACAUUUUCAUUGUAAAAAUGAAUCGUUAUGAUUCUAAUAGCU